UACGGAGGGUGCAAGCGUUAUCCGGAUUCACUGGGUUUAAAGGGUGCGUAGGAGGACUGGUAAGUCAGUGGUGAAAUCCCCGAGCUUAACUUGGGAACUGCCGUUGAUACUAUCAGUCUUGAAUACCGUGGAGGUGAGCGGAAUAUGUCAUGUAGCGGUGAAAUGCUUAGAUAUGACAUAGAACACCAAUCGCGAAGGCAGCUCGCUACACGAAUAUUGACUCUGAGGCACGAAAGCGUGGGGAUCAAACAGG
rnacentral:rRNA from 1 species